GCCACACUGGGACUGAGACACGGCCCAGACUCCUACGGGAGGCAGCAGUAGGGAAUCUUCCGCAAUGGACGAAAGUCUGACGGAGCAACGCCGCGUGAGUGAUGAAGGCUUUCGGGUCGUAAAACUCUGUUGUUAGGGAAGAACAAGUGCUAGUUGAAUAAGCUGGCACCUUGACGGUACCUAACCAGAAAGCCACGGCUAACUACGUGCCAGCAGCCGCGGUAA
rnacentral:rRNA from 1 species